rnacentral:rRNA from 1 species
ACCCGCACAAGCGGUGGAUGAUGUGGUUUAAUUCGAUGCAACGCGAAAACCUUACCCACCUUUGACAUGUACGGAACCCUUUAGAGAUAGAGGGGUGCUCGAAAGAGAGCCGUAACACAGGUGCUGCAUGGCUGUCGUCAGCUCGUGUCGUGAGAUGUUGGGUUAAGUCCCGCAACGAGCGCAACCCUUGUCAUUAGUUGCUACAUUCAGUUGGGCACUCUAAUGAGACUGCCGGUGACAAGCCGGAGGAAGGUGGGGAUGACGUCAAGUCCUCAUGGCCCUUAUAGGUGGGGCUACACACGUCAUACAAUGGCUGGUACAAAGGGUUGCCAACCCGCGAGGGGGAGCCAAUCCCAUAAAGCCAGUCGUAGUCCGGAUCGUAGUCUGCAACUCGACUACGUGAAGUCGGAAUCGCUAGUAAUCGUGGAUCAGAAUGUCACGGUGAAUACGUUCCCGGGUCUU